rnacentral:rRNA from 1 species
UACAGAGGUCCCGAGCGUUGUUCGGAUUCACUGGGCGUAAAGGGUGCGUAGGUGGCAAGGUAAGUUUUGAUGUGAAAAUCUUCGAGCUCAACUCGGAAAACUGCAUUGAAUACUAUCUUGCUUGAGGAUUGGAGGGGAGGCUGGAAUUCUCGGUGUAGCAGUGAAAAUGCGUAGAUAUCAAGUGGAACACCAGUGGCGAAGGCGAAUCCCUGGAAAAUACCUGACACUGAGGCACGAAAGCUAGGGGAGCAAACAGG